rnacentral:rRNA from 1 species
GAUGAACGCUAGCGGCAGGCCUAAUACAUGCAAGUCGAACGAGAUUACGAGGCUUGCUUCUUAUGAAAGUGGCGCACGGGUGCGUAACGCGUAUGCAACCUACCUUAAUCAGGGGGAUAGCCCGAAGAAAUUCGGAUUAAGACCGCAUAAAAACACAGGAUAGCAUUAUCCAAUGUUCAAAUAUUUAUAGGAUUAAGAUGGGCAUGCGUGUCAUUAGCUAGUUGGCGGGGUAACGGCCCACCAAGGCGACGAUGACUAGGGGAUCUGAGAGGAUGACCCCCCGCACUGGUACUGAGACACGGACCAGACUCCUACGGGAGGCAGCAGUAAGGAAUAUUGGUCAAGGGAGGGAACUCUGAACCAGCCAUGCCGCGUGCAGGAAGACAGCCCUCUGGGUCGUAAACUGCUUUUAUUCGGGAAUAAACCUUUCUACGUGUAGGAAGCUGAAUGUACCGAAGGAAUAAGGAUCGGCUAACUCCGUG